rnacentral:rRNA from 1 species
AAUGAACGCUGGCGGCGUGCCUCAGACAUGCAAGUCGAACGAGAAAGUCUCUUCGGAGGCGAGUAGAGUGGCGCACGGGUGAGUAACACUUAAGUAAUCUACCCUUUCGCUGGGGAUAACAGGAGGAAACUCCUGCUAAUACCGAAUACCACGAUAAUUUCUGCGGAUUUUAUCGUAAAAGCCUUCGGGCGCGAAAGGAGGAGCUUGAGCACCAUUAGCUUGUUGGUAGGGUAAAAGCCUACCAAGGCGACGAUGGUUAGCUGGUCUGAGAGGAUGAUCAGCCACACUGGUACUGGAACACGGACCAGACUCCUACGGGAGGCAGCAGUUAGGAAUUUUGCGCAAUGGGGGAAACCCUGACGCAGCAACGCCGCGUGAGUGAGGAAGGCUUUCGGGUCGUAAAGCUCUUUUAGCAGGGAAGAAAAAAAUGACGGUACCUGCAGAAAAAGCACCGGCUAACUCCG